rnacentral:rRNA from 1 species
CCUACGGGCGGCUGCAGUGGGGAAUAUUGGACAAUGGGGGGAACCCUGAUCCAGCCAUGCCGCGUGUGUGAAGAAGGCCUUUUGGUUGUAAAGCACUUUAAGCGAGGAGGAGGCUACCUAGAUUAAUACUUUAGGAUAGUGGACGUUACUCGCAGAAUAAGCACCGGCUAACUCUGUGCCAGCAGCCGCGGUAAUACAGCGGGUGCACUGGGUAAUCGGAUUUACUGGGCGUACAACUAAGUCAGAUGUCAAAUCCCCGAGCUUAACUUGGGAAUUGCAUUCGAUACUGGUUGGCUAGAGUAUGGGAGAGGAUGGUAGAAUUCCAGGUGUAGCGGUGAAAUGCGUAGAGAUCUGGAGGAAUACCGAUGGCGAAGGCAGCCAUCUGGCCUAAUACUGACGCUGAGGUACGAAAGCAUGGGGAGCAAACAGGAUUAGAUACCCCGGUAGUC